GAUGAACGCUGGCGGCGUGCUUAACACAUGCAAGUCGAACGAGAAGUGAAGACGGAAACCUUCGGGCGGAAGGCUUUAUUUCGAGUGGCGGCCGGGUGAGUAACGCGUGGGUAACCUGCCUCAUACAGGGGGAUAACAGUUGGAAACGACUGUUAAUCCCGCAUAAGACCACAGCACCGCAUGGUGCGGGGGUAAAAACUCCGGUGGUAUGAGAUGGACCCGCGUUCGAUUAGCCAGUUGGCGGGGUAACGGCCCACCAAAGCGACGAUCGAUAGCCGAUCUGAGAGGAUGACCGGCCACAUUGGGACUGAGACACGGCCCAAACUCCUACGGGAGGCAGCAGUGGGGAAUAUUGCACAAUGGGGGAAACCCUGAUGCAGCGACGCCGCGUGAGUGAAGAAGUAUUUCGGUAUGUAAAGCUCUAUCAGCAGGGAAGAAAAUGACGGUACCUGAGUAAGAAGCCCCGGCUAACUACGUG
rnacentral:rRNA from 1 species